GCCCGAGCCAUAUCGUGCCUGGUUUCCCUUUGAAGCUAAGCAGGGUUGAGUCUGGUCGGUACCUGGACAGGAGACCUCGUGGGGAAAACUAAGGUUGCUGCUGGAA
rnacentral:rRNA from 1 species